GACGAACGCUGGCGGCGUGCUUAACACAUGCAAGUCGUACGGUAAGGCCCUUUCGGGGGUACACGAGUGGCGAACGGGUGAGUAACACGUGAGUAACCUGCCCACAACUUUGGGAUAACGCUAGGAAACUGGUGCUAAUACUGGAUAUGUGCUCCUGCUGCAUGGUGGGGGUUGGAAAGCUCCGGCGGUUGUGGAUGGACUCGCGGCCUAUCAGCUUGUUGGUGGGGGAGUGGCCUACCAAUGCGGCGACGGGUAGCCGGCCUGAGAGGGUGGCCGGCCACAUUGGGACUGGGAUACGGCCCAGACGCCUACGGGAGGCAGCAGGGGGGAAUAAUGCACAAUGGGCGCAAGCCAGAUGCAGCAACGCCGCGUGCGGGAUGACGGCCUUCGGGUUGUAAACCGAUUUCAGCAGGGACGAAGCUUUUUGUGACGGUACCUGCAGAAGAAGCACCGGCUAACUACGUG
rnacentral:rRNA from 1 species